rnacentral:lncRNA from 1 species
GCUUCCCGUGCGCAAGGCCCCGGGAGCUCAUCAGCUUGCGUAACCAUCACUUACAAUGAUAACCAAGGGGAGUGCUGAAGGCAGAAAAUCACUGAACUGGGGAGCCCAGAAAGCAGCAGCCGUAAAUACGAGAUGACCUUCCAAGAGCCGGAUGCCUGAAUUUACGACUUUGGAGACUACGAGACCAUGGGCCGCAGCAAGGGGAGCAUCGCGGCAGCAGGGGGCUGAGGAGGAAGGGAGAGCUCAUGGCCUUAAGUGAGGAGCGCAGCGGCCAGGCUGGACCUUCGCCGGCUCGCGGCAGGGCCUUCGCGGCGCCGCCCGCAGUAAGGCUCCGUGAGAAGAGCUGUGGACCAGGCCGGCGGCCUGAACGAUCCCGGGGCCUGAGGGCCGCUCCGGGACGCGCUCGAGGGCAAGGGGCGGGAGGCCAGGUCAAGGUCAGGCCCUGGGAAUAAGCCGGGGGAGGAGGAGCGACUCUGAAGGGGCGGGGCGACCGAUCGCGUCCCUGGGCAGGCACAGGGCACAGCACCGACUGCAAGCUAGGUUAAAGGCCACGUUUCGGGAUCCGGCAGGAAGCUCCUGUCCGUGGAGGGCCGCAGUCUAGCAUGUCCUGUCCUGUGUUCUUGACCACAAGGAAACCACCAGGCCACAGGGAAGGCCCCCUUCGCCUCAGCUCCAGCCGGUUCUGCAGACGGAAGUGUGGACGUCUCCAGCUGCUGCUCACAAAGAGAAAAUGAAGCCAGCGACCAGGGGCAGCCGGGGCCCGGGUCCAGGCAGUGAGGGGCAGGUGCCCACCGGGCAGGAUGGGUGAAAACCCUCAGGGCAAAAUCCCUAUGAGUAAAGGGCUGCCUCAGCCAACAGCGUCUUUGUGUGAAACGCCAUCUACAUCUGAAAAAAAAACCACCCAGCCUGUGAGGUUUCGUGUUAGGCUAAUUUUAGCGCAGCAUUCUACAAGGAGGAAGGAACUGACACUCGCUAAAUUAAUUCCAAUCGGUUUGACUGCAAACAGAACUGGCUUCCCACAGGGAGUCAGACAACUCCAUCCUGGGAAAGGUUGCGCAAGUCUGUGCCUGUGGAAGCCCCCCCGGGGGGCAGCCCGUGGGCGGGGGCGCCUGUCAUCCCAUGCAACCCCCCAUGGCCGGCAGCCCCAGCACCCAGCAAGGGCAGCCCAAGGCAGGCCAGCAGGGCGGGGGCAGGGAAGCUGCUCAGCAGGAGGCGCCCUUUGCCUGGAGGGCACGCUGGACCUGACUCGGAGCUUUGGAGGCUCCAUCCUCUCCUUUUGCUCUGGUGGCUCCAGGCCCAGGCUGCCCGCGCAGCCUCGGUUCUCCAGGUCCAGUGCAGCUGGGGGCCUUUGGACUCUGUAGACCUCUGCACCUCCACCGCCUACGUGUCAGGCGGGAGUAACAACAGUGCUUUCACCCGGGGCUGCCGUGUGAGGGGAAUGUGUAAAGUAAAAGACAGUCUCUCCUUCCAGGAAAGCACCUGGUGCACCUUAGCGUGUGUGUGCGCGUGCGUGUGUGUGUGCGCGUGCGCGUGUGUGUGUGUGUGUGUGUUGCUGGGGAUUGAACCCAGGCCCUUCCCAACAAGCUGCAUCCCCAGCGCUGUUUGUUGUUUCAAGACGGGCUCUCACUCAGUUGGCAGGCUGUCCCUCCAGGGCUUCAACUCAACUCUGCUGUCCAGAGUGGCUGGGUCACAAGCCUGCACCACCAUGCCCAGCUCAGAUGCUAGCUUUUUCAGGAACUGCUGCACUUAUUCACUUGCUACAG